GAAGUUGAGGUUGCUUAUUUGCCUCUAGGUCUUAACUGAUUGAAAGAGGAUCUUGAACUUAAAUACAGAAAAGGAUGUUUUAACUCUGCGCAACGUUUUUCUAACGUUUCUUUCACUUUUAAAGAACAUACUAGUGAUUCACAAAAUUCCUGAUACACUGAACUGAUAAGUUGUGUGGUUAACAUACCGCCUUGUGGAUCAAAAGGUCCAGGGUUCGAACCGCGACAUGCUGCACUUUUAUCUACGAAAGUGUUCUAUCUGUAUGAGGAAGUCCAACAUGUCUUCGUCAAUCACGUGUAUCGUAUUUGUCGUCGUACUCUACUUCGUCCCUGCUAUGCUU